UACGAAGGGGGCUAGCGUUGCUCGGAAUCACUGGGCGUAAAGCGCACGUAGGCGGCUUUCUAAGUCAGGGGUGAAAUCCUGGAGCUCAACUCCUGAACUGCCUUUGAUACUGGAGAGCUUGAGUCCGGAAGAGGUGAGUGGAACUCCGAGUGUAGAGGUGAAAUUCGUAGAUAUUCGGAAGAACACCAGUGGCGAAGGCGGCUCACUGGUCCGGUACUGACGCUGAGGUGCGGAAGCGUGGGGAGCAAACAGG
rnacentral:rRNA from 1 species